GGCAUAUUUUAGUAUAAAAGAGCUCAAGGAUGUUCUCACUCACUUAGGUCUUUCAAAGCAGGGGAAGAAGCAGGACCUUGUUGACCGGAUAUUGGUUGUUUUAUCUGAUGAUCAAGUUUCUAAAUUGUGGGCAAAGAAGAAUGCUGUGGGGAAGGAACAGGUGGCACAGCUUGUAGAUGACAUAUAUAGGUUUGUCUUAUAUCUUGCACUAUCUGAUUCAUAAAGUCACUGGAUUCUACUCUUUUUGCUACUGUCUAUUUUUUUUCCCUUAGAAAAUACAUUUUCCUGUUUCUCAGAAAAAUGCAAGGGAUGGAGGUAAGUAUUCCGUCAUUGUUCUUACUGGCCUUUGUUUGUGUGGUUUUAAAUACAAUAAUUUUCUACUACUUGGUCUAUGUGAAUGCUUUUUCAAUUUUAAAUAUUUGCUUUGCGAACAUAUAUUAAUCUCUCAGGAUUUCAAGUUUUACUAUGA